rnacentral:lncRNA from 1 species
AGAUCCUGCUGUUUACACAGCUUAGGGACCUGAGAUGAUGGCACAGUCCUGUGUCACUGAGGUCCUCACUUGUCUGGGAAGGCCCAUUAAGCACAUGCUUCCCCCAGUAUGAUGCUGAAUAAGUGCGGCAAGAAUGGUUUCUGCUUGUCUUGUUUAUAGUCUCAAGAAAUGAAAUGCACGUCAAAGGGGUAGAUAGGAUCCACAUAUGUUCUACGCACCUAUGAAAAAGCAACAGUGAGACCUAUCAGUCUAUAAAAUUAGUAUAUCCUAAUGAGACCUUUUGUAUGAGUAGGUUUACAUAGGUAUUUGUUAGUGUGCAUGUUUAUGUGCAUGCAUGUGCACAUAUAUGUAUAUAGAGAGUGGAGGACAACUUUGGGUGUUAUUCCUCAAGAAACAUCCAUCUGUCUUUUAUUUGGAUGCCAUGUUUUGGAUUGGUUUUUUGUUUUGUUUUUUUGUCUUUUGAGACAGGUUCUCUCACUGGCCUGGAAAUCUUCAGGUAGGUCAUGUAGGCUGCCUAGCUAACCAUCAUGGACUGAACUAACUCUGUAGCCCUUUAAAAAAAAAUCUUUUUAUUUUCUUAAGCAUGGUGUGGCUGGAGAGAUGGCUCAGCAGUUCAGACUGUACACUGCUCUUCCAGAGGACCUGACUUUGAUUCCCAGUGCCCAUGCCUGGUAGCUCACAACUGCCGCUCCAGAUCCAGGGGAUUUGAUGCCUCCUUGUGGCCUCCUCAGCCAUUGUCCUGAUCAUGUGAUUUUCCUUCUUCAGCCUGUUGCUGUGGUAGAAUGUUGGUUUAUUUUCCAGUAUUGAAUCAGCUCUGCACACGAG